UGAAACUGGAGCGCCUGGAG
rnacentral:miRNA from 2 species